rnacentral:rRNA from 1 species
CUGAACAUUGAGCCUUGAUGUGUAGGAUAGGUGGGAGACUAUGAAGUGUGGACGCCAGUCUGCAUGGAGUCAACCUUGAAAUACCACCCUUUAACGUUUUGAUGUUCUAACCUAGGGUCCAUAAUCUGGAUCGGGGACCGUGUCUGGUGGGUAGUUUGACUGGGGCGGUCUCCUCCUAAAGAGUAACGGAGGAGCACGAAGGUUGGCUAAGCAU